rnacentral:lncRNA from 1 species
GAUAGUUGAGUAUUCUUUCAGAUUUUUCAUCAAUAUGUUGUAUUUUUAAAUAAUUUUCUUAAAAACUGCUAUUUUUAGAAAGUUUUCAUUUUAUAUAGAAAUAUUAUAGAUUUGGGUUUGUGAUUUAGAAAUUAUGACUACAAGAAUAUUUGUGGACAGAUAAGUGUUCUUUCAGAAUUUUGCAUCAAUAUGUUGUAUUUUAAAAUAAUUUUCUUAAAAACUGCUAUUUUUAGAAAGUUGUAAUAGUUACUAAAUUUUUAAUUAUUCGAUAUAUAUUUAUUAUUUCAUAAUUUGUAAAAAAUAUAUAAUACUUAAAAAUAAUUUAUAUAUAAUAUUCGUUCUGCGCAAGGCGCGGAUCUUAACCUAGUUAAUAAGUAUUUCAUAUUGGAUUUUAAUGUGACACGGCUAGAGUCAGAUUGACUAAGACGAAUAGACAAUCUAAUCUAUUAAUUUAUAUUUCUAUUUUAAUAUGACAUAUUCGAUUAUUUACAUUAAUAAUAAACUAAUUAUAAAUUUGAAUUAUAUAUUUUUAAUUAUAACAAAAUAUGUUGAUAAAAAUCUAAUAAAAUCUUACUUAAAAUUAAAUAUUUUUAUAAAAUAAAACAUUAGUUAAUUUUGUAAUUAUUAGUAUAAUAUCAUUAUAAAUCAAUGUUAAUUAAAAUUUUAUUCUAAAAAAAUAAAAUAAAAUUAUAUACUAUUUUUUAUAAAUUUUAUAGUUAUAUUCUGUAUUAUAUAAAAAAGAAGUGAUUUAUGAAUUACAUAUGACAAAAUUAUAUUAAAUAGGUAAACUAACAAAUUUUAUUUUUUUAAAUGGUUUCAUUUAAAUAAAAUAUCACUCAUCAUUAAAAUGGGUUAAAAUUCAUAAACUAUUUCUUUUUAUAUAAAAAUAAAUUUAGUAACAUACGUUAAACUUUUAUAUCUACAACUAUAUGUUAUCUUUUUAUUUAUUUUAAAAUUCUCAACAAUAUGUUGUGUAAAAAUGUUUAUACAUAAACAUAAUGGUAUAUAAUAACUUUUAGCUCAUAUACUAUUUUUUUAAAAUGUUAUUAGAAAAUUAUGAAAUUUUAGUAAUUCAUUUAAAAUAUAAUUACAAAUAAUAUUUUAGUAAUUCAUUUAAAAUAUUAUUACAAAUAAAAUUUUAAUUAUUAUUUUUAAUUAUAACAAAAUCUGUUGAUAAAAAUUUAUAAAACAUUACCAAAAGUCAAAUUGUUUUAAAUAAAAUAAUGUAUUAAUGUAAUAAUAAAAAAAUUCCAAAUUCAUGUAAUCUUCCAAACUCAAAAAUAGUUGUGUAGUUUUCCAAAAUUUUCUUGAAAAAUUACAAUUUCAAAUUUUAUAAAAGAUAAAAUCAUAGAUAAUAAAUAAUAAAUUUUUGAAAUGCACCACGAAAAAAAACUAUAUAUGUUGUAAAAAUUAAAGUAAUCUUAUGUUUUGAAACUUAAUUAAAAACAUUAAUAUCAUAACAUCCAUAAAAUAUCCUAUUUCAAUAAAAUUUACUAAAAUAAAUUGAUAGAUGCUACUAUGUAUAAUUAUUUUAUUAUAAUAAUAUAUAUAUAUUAUUUAAAUAAAACAAUGUUUUUACUUAUAGAGCCUGUAAAAUACUAAUGAUAUAUGUUAAAGUAUUUUUUUUUAAACACAACAUAUAAAUAUAAAUGAUCUUAAACAUAUUUUUUUUUAAUAUGAUUAAAUAAAAUUUUAACAAUGUAUUAUAUGCAAAAUGUAUAAAUUAAAGAAAAAAUGUAUUUUGGAGGAGGUUUUCUAUUUGAUUAUUUCAUAUUACUAUUUUAUUUUACAUAUCUCAAAAAUAUAUUCGUAAGUAAUAAAAAAUAAUAAAAAAUAAAGUGUAUUAAACAAACCACUAUAUAUUAAUAAUGUCGAAAAAGAAAUAUAAAAAAGAAUAUUAUAGAAUUACGCAAUAGAUAACAUUAAACUGAAAAUUAUAGAUUUAAAAGAUUUGUAAUAAAAUCAAUUACAUUUAUAAAAUGAAAAAAUAUCCUGAAACAAAUAUCCGCACAGACGUGCGGGUCAAAAGCUAGUAAAUUUUUAAAAGUGAGACAUCUGCAUAGAUCAUCAUAAUCUGUUUAUGUUAGGUAUCUAACAUGAGUACACAUAUAUUAAAAUUAGGUUUAACGGAUAAAACAUGCUAUUUUUGGAAACUUUUCAUUUUAUAGAAAAAUGUUGUAGGUUUGAGUUUAUGGUUUUGAAAUUAGGAUAACAAGAAUAUUUGUUGAUAUAUGAUUAUUCUUUCAGUUUUUUUCAUCGAUAUGUUGUAUUUUUAAAUAAUUUUCUUAAAAACUGCUAUUUUUAGAAAAUUUUCAUUUUACAGAGAAUAUUGUAGAUUUGGUUUUGUUAUUUAGAAAUUAGGAUUACAAGAAUAUUUGUGGAUAGAUAAGUAUUCUCUCAGAAUUUUGUAUCAAUAGGUUGUAUUUUUAAAUAAUUUUAUUAAAAGCUGCUAUUUUUGGAAAGUUUUCAUUUUUUUUAGAGAAAUAUUGUUGAUUUGAGUAUAUGGUUGAAAAAUUAGAGUAACAAGAAUAUAUGUUGAUAUAUGAGUAUUCUGUCAGAGUUUUCCUUAAAUAUGUUGUAUUUUAAAAUAAUCUUCUUAAAAACUGCUAUUUAUAGAAAUUUUUCAUUUUUCAAGGGAAAUAAUUUAGAAUUGGGUUUGUGGUAUAAAAAUUAAGAUAACAAGAAUACUUUUGGAUUAGUUGAGUAUUCUUUCAGAUUUUUUCAUCAAUAGGUUGUAUUUUUAAAUAAAUUUCUUAAGAACUGCUAUUAGGAAAGUUUUCAUUUUUUUAGAGAAAUAUUUUAGAUUUGAGUUUGUGGUUUAGAAUUUAAGAUAAAAAUAUUAUUUGUGAAUAGUUGAGUAUUCUUUCAGAUUUUUUCAUCAAUAUGUUGUAUUUUUAAAUAAUUUUCUUAAAAACUGCUAUUUUUAGAAAGUUUUCAUUUUAUAGAGAAAUAUUGUAGAUUUGGGUUUAUGAUUUAGAAAUUAGGAUUACAAGAAUAUUUGUGGAUAGAUAAGUAUUCUUUCAUAAUUUUUUAUCAAUAUGUUAUAUUUUUAUAUAAUAUUUUUUAAAACUGCUAUUUUUGGAAAGUUUUCAUUUUUUUAGAGAAAUAUUGUAGAUUUGAGUUUGUGGUUUAGAAGUUAAGAUCAAAAGAUUAUUUGUGGAUAGUUGAGCAUUCUUUCAGAUUUUUUCAUCAAUAUGUUGUAUUUUUAAAUAAUUUUCCUAAAAACUGCUAUUUUUAUAAAGUUUUCAUUUUAUAUAGAAAUAUUAUAGAUUUGGGUUUGUGAUUUAGAAAUUGGGACUACAACAAUAUUUGUGGACAGAUAAGUGUUCUUUCAGAAUUUUGCAUCAAUAUGUUGUAUUCUUAUAUAAUUUUUUAAAAACAGCUAUUUUUGGUAACUUUUCAUUUUAUAGAGAAAUAUUGAAGAUUUGAGUUUAUGGUUGAAAAAUUAGAGUAACAAGAAUAUAUGUUGAUAUAUGAGUAUUCUUUCAGAGUUUUCCUUAAAUAGGUUGUAUUUUUAAAUAAUCUUCUUAAAAGCUGCUAUUUUUGGAAAUUUUUCAUUUUUUAGAGAAAUAUUUUAGAAUUGGGUUUGUGGUAUAAAAAUUAAGAUAACAAGAAUACUUUUGGAUUAGUUGAGUAUUCUUUCAGAGUUUUUCAUCAAUAGGUUGUAUUUUUAAAUAAAUUUCUUAAAAACUGCUAUUUUAGGAAAGUUUUCAUUUUUUUUAGAGAAAUAUUGUAGAUUUGAGUUUGUGGUUUAGAAGUUGAGAUCAAAAGAUUAUUUGUGGAUAGUUGAGUAUUCUUUCAGAUUUAUUCAUCAAUAUGUUGUAUUCUUAAAUAAUUUUCUUAAAAACUGCUAUUUUU